GCGCGGGCCGGGAAGCGACGCCUUCCUAGCAGCACGAGUUAGGGCCCGCCAGGUGAACCUCCAGUACAAGGUUGAAUAGAAAUGGUAAGACCAAACAUUCUUGCCUUGUUCCUGACCUGGGGGGGGAAAACAGCCAGCUUUCACCAUGGCGGCUUUGAGUGUGUAAUCUUGCACGGUCCGGAUCAGCUCUAACAUUCCAUGAAGAUCCCACAAAACCACUCGGUGACAUCAUGCAAGAUUGGAUAGGCUGGCGGGAGAGGCAUUUGGGGGCUCUCUCUAGAGCCCCUCACAUCACAAGACAGAGGAAGCUGCGGACUUUUCCUCCCAGGUUAAGCUGCCCUCGAGCCCCAGGACUGAGUUGCCUUUCAUAUUCUGGCCUCGAUAAACUGAAGGCCAAAUCAGGCGACUUGUUCACUUUUCCUAGGGUGGUCUAGCCUGGGGCAGACUCUGUGUGGAAAGUGGGGGGGCCGGGGGGGCUCUGAGACGGGGGUCAGUGAGAGCGGUUAAGGUUCACAAAACCAUUCAUUCCUCAGACCUUCCUUCCAGCGCCUGUCUGGAUAGACCUGCGUGUGUGCGGUUCUCAUGGGAGAAGCCAAGCGGCCAUAGUCGCCCGUCUUUAGGUGCUGGGUUGAGAUGGGGGUGAGGGCAUCCUCUUGGGGCAGGAGAGGCAGAGAGCUGAUCAAGAGACAGCUUGGUUCUCCACGACCUGGCUCCGGGUGCCCCGUCGGGGAUUGGCAGCUGGCAUCCCUGGGAAUUGCGUUCCUCUCUCUGAGCUCCUUGGCUUCCUCUUUAAGACGGGCGCGGAGGAUGAAGCUCUGUGGAUGGAGGAGAGCCUUCUAGGCCCUGAAGAGUCCUCGACUUGACCUGGGAGCUAACUUGUGAGGAAGGAAGCGAAAGAGUGACUGGAAAGAGAUUUUUAAGAUCAUUGAGGAUCCAGACUCUCGGCCAGUCCCUCCAUUUCGCAGAUGAGGAAGCCGAAGGUCAGGGAGGGGACGUGAUUCGGCCAAAGUGACGCGGCUGGUAAGCGGCCGAGCUUGGAUGGCACCCAGGGCUCUGCGCUGCCGUUUGGGUGCUCUUUGCCCUGCACGUGGCGGUGUGCCCUGGCACGACUGCUCAGCUCCGUCUCAAGUGAGGAUCCAGUAAGAGGAGAAGUUGGUGACGCUCGGAGGCGUUAGCCUCCCUUCAGGCUCGUCUCCCGCGGGGUUUCUGCUUCCGACCUGCUUGCUCCUGCCCUCCACGCAAGCCGGGGCCGCUCCCCCUCCCCAGCCCGGUGCCUCCUUUCCCGCACAUCAGCAGGCGCUCCGGGAACUCUCACUUGGGUGUGGACGCAUGAAGCUGUGAUCUGAAAGAUGACCUGGUGUCUCCGAGAGAUUCUCUUUCCGGUUUCUCUGGGGAAAAGGGAAACCCCACCAUUGGUUCUGCUGGUUUCCCUGUUGCUCCAUUUGGGCUCUGCUUUCAGAAUGAGGGUCGUAAGUGCCUGGAAAUGUCGAGAGGCAGGUGGAAAAUGCCACCUGAAGCAGACGGGGACCUGAAGACAGCUCUCGGGACUGUACAGUUUUGCCUCUGGCCCCGCUGGUGGUCUCAUCACUACUGCGGACAGGGGAGGAGGUGGGAUGGAGAGGAGCUGAAGGAAUGAACCUUAACGUACAGCGGGAAGGAGACAGGAAUAGUCUGAGCUGGAAGCGAUCUUUUUUCUUUUUCUCUUUUUUGCUUUUUAGGGCUGUACCCGAAGCAUAUGGAAGUUCCUGGGCUAGGAGUCAAGUCGGAGCUGCAGCUGCUGGCCUACAGCACAGCCUCAGCAAUGUGGGAUCCAGGCCGCAUCUGCAACCUACACCACAGCUCACGGCAACUCCGGAUCCUUAACCCACUGGGCAAGACCAGGAAUCGAACCCGCAGCCUCAUGGAUCCUAGUCUGGUUGGUUACUGCUGAGCCAUGACAGAAACUCCAGAAGUGAUCUUAUCAUCCUGGCAUUGCUGUAACCUCCUCAUUCAACCACUGGGAGAACAGAUGUUCCACCCCCACCCCUAAGAAAGUUCCCUGUUACCUACUGGACAGUCUGACUUCUUCGGAUUAUCAUCCAAGCUCCUUUGCAUGUGACCCUCUCUCUAGCCCCAUCCUCUCCACAGCUCUGCCCAGUGCCUGUGGCCCGUGACUCUGAGCUACAGGCCAUUAUCCAAACAGUGCUUGCAUGGGCACACCUCCUGCCUUUGCUCGGGCAGGAAUGCCCUUCCUCAUGUUACCUGCCUGGUGAAUUCCUCCUCAUCCUUCAAGAUCCAGGUCCAAUAUCACCUGAGACACCCUCUUCUGAGACACUCCCUUCCCAGCUGGUCUUUCCCUCUUGUCUGUUCCUAAAGUGCUUUGCAUAAAACCCUCUU
rnacentral:lncRNA from 1 species